UACGGAGGGUGCAAGCGUUAUCCGGAUUCACUGGGUUUAAAGGGUGCGUAGGUGGCGCUGUAAGUCGGGUGUGAAAUCCUGAGGCUUAACCUCGGAACUGCAUUCGAUACUGCGGCGCUUGAGGACUGGAGAGGAGACUGGAAUUCAUGGUGUAGCAGUGAAAUGCGUAGAGAUCAUGAGGAAGACCAGUGGCGAAGGCGGGGUCUCUGGGCCGAUACUGACGCUGAGGAGCGAAAGCGUGGGGAGCAAACAGG
rnacentral:rRNA from 1 species